rnacentral:tRNA from 1 species
GGGUCGUUAGCUCAGCCGGUAGAGCAGCGGACUUUUAAUCCGUUGGUCGCCAGUUCGAUCCUGGCACGACCUACCA